rnacentral:rRNA from 1 species
AUGGCCAUCUUCGACGAGUUCUAUGUUGGCUCCAUUGUUCUCGGGCGCCUCAACUAUGGGAUCAUCUCUCUCAUCCCCAAGGUCCCCGGGGCGUCCGACAUUCGCCAGUUUCGCCCGAUCACGGUUAUUAAUGUGAUCUUUCGGAUCCUGGCCAAAGGGUACGCCAAUAGGGUGACCCUGCUGGCUGACCGUGUGACUCACCCCAACCAAUCGGCCUUCAUUAAGGGCCGUUACAUCCUGGAUGGGGUCCUUGUCCUCCAUGAAGUCCUUCAUGAGGUCCGCGUCAAACGCCUCAAGGCGGUCUUUCUGAAGAUUGAUUUCCACAAGGCCUACGAUACGGUUAGUUUGUCCUUCCUCCGGGAAGUUCUU